GUUGAGCCCUCUAAAAACAUAAGAUGUCAAACCCCCCAGACUUGGCAAGUUAGACUUGGCAUAUAUACAUUGACAGGUCAUUUUGAGCAUAAUUGACUCAAUUUGGACUGCAGAAGGUAGCCCUAAUUGACUUGUAAAAUAACUUAUCAAAACAUUAAGAAUUAAGUUUGUGCUUGUUUAUGAUUAAAAAAACUUCUAUAUAUUUGGUGCCUUCUAAAAACAUAAGAUGUCA
rnacentral:misc_RNA from 1 species